GACGAACGCUGGCGGCGUGCUUAACACAUGCAAGUCGAGCGGUAAGGCCCUUUCGGGGGUACACGAGCGGCGAACGGGUGAGUAACACGUGGGUGACCUGCCCUCAGCUCUGGGAUAAGCCUGGGAAACCGGGUCUAACACCGGAUAUGACUCCAUGACGCAUGUUGUGGGGUGGAAAGCCUUGUGCGGCUGAGGAUGGGCCCGCGGCCUAUCAGCUUGUUGGUGGGGUGAUGGCCUACCAAGGCGACGACGGGUAGCCGGCCUGAGAGGGCGACCGGCCACACUGGGACUGAGACACGGCCCAGACUCCUACGGGAGGCAGCAGUGGGGAAUCUUGCGCAAUGGGCGAAAGCCUGACGCAGCGAACGCCGCGUGA
rnacentral:rRNA from 1 species